GAGUAAAGAUUUCGGUCGCUUUGGGAGGAGCUCGCUUACUAUCAGCUUGUUGGUAGGGUAAUGGCCUACCAAGGUUAUGACGGUUAGGGGGUGUGAGAGCAUGACCCCCAGCAUUGGCACUGAAACACUGGCCAAACACCUACGGGUGGCUGCAGUCGAGAAUCUUCCACAAUGGGGGAAACCCUGAUGGAGCGAUGCUGCGUGCGGGAUGAAGGCCUUCGGGUUGUAAACCGCUUUUGUAGGGGACGAAAUUUUUGACGGUACCCUUUCGAAUAAGAGGUUGCUAACUCUGUGCCAGCAGCAGCGGUAAUAUAGAGACCUCAAGCGUUAUCCGGAUUUACUAGGCGUAAAGCGUCUGUAGGGGGUUUAUUAAGUUCCAAGUAAAAUUUCAAGGCUCAACUUUGAAUUCGCUUGGAAAACUAAUAAACUGGAGUCUAGCAGAGGUGCAUGGAACUUGUGGUGUAGGAGUGAAAUCCGUUGAUAUCACAAGGAACACCAAAGGCGAAGGCAUUGCACUGGGCUAGCACUGACCCUGAGAGACGAAAGCGUGGGGAGCAAAACGGAUUAGAUACCCGUGUAGUCCACGCCCUAAACGAUGAAUGCUAAAUGUUCGGGGAUUCGACCCCCUGGGUGUUACAGCUAACGCGUUAAGCAUUCCGCCUGGGAAGUACGGCCGCAAGGCUAAAACUCAAAGGAAUAGACGGGGAUCCGCACAAGCGGUGGAGCGUCUGGUUUAAUUCGACAGUAAGCGUGGUACCUCACCAGGGUUUGACAUCCCCUGACAGCCUUGGAAACAAGGUUUCCUUCGGGCAAGGUGACAGGUGCUGCAUGGUCGUCGUCAGUUCGUGCCGUGAGGUGUUCCGUUAAGUCGGGAAACGAACGAAACCCCUAUUGCAUGUUACAAUUUCUCAUGCAAGACUGCCCGGAUAUACUGGGAGGAAGGUGGGGAUGACGUCAGAUCUGCAUGGUCCUUAUACCCUGGGCGACACAGGCGCUACAAUGGCAGAGACAAAGGGUUGCAAAACCGCAAGGUGAAGCUAAUCCCAAAAACUUUGUCUAAGUUCGGAUUGAAGGCUGCAAUUCGCCUUCAUGAAGCUGGAAUCGCUAGUAAUCGUGAAUCAGCCACGUCACGGUGAAUAUGUUCCCGGAUCUUGUACUCACCGCCCGUCACACCAAGAGAGUUGGUAGCUCCCGAAG
rnacentral:rRNA from 1 species